CCAUCCACGACUAAGCACGUUUAAGCAGGAGCGAACCGGUAGAGAGCGGAAACUCUCUCCGACUACCCCCCCCCCGAAAAAAAAUCGUUACCUAGUUGUAAAAAUUUGCCCUAUGUUUCUACUUUUAUUUCUUUUACAACUAUACAACUUACUUUCUUUCCCCUUUGGGCAGAAAGAUGGUACCGAAAGUCUAAUUUCCAGCUGCAAUUAAUUGUUUCAUAGUGUAUGUUGAUUACCUCUAAACGUUGCGACCUGUUAUAAAUGUAAAAUAUAAACUGUGUUAGAUUAUUCUUAUUUACUUAUGAAUCAUGUCCUGUAUUGUGUUAGUUGGUGGAGGAGUAGGUUGUGGUAAAACCAGGUUUAUAAAUUUUUUUCAAGAACAUAAAAAUGUGCUUUUCUGUUACAACCAUGAGGAAAGUAAAAUUUCGUCAGAAUCUGCGCCGUUUGAACCAAUGAAAGGAAAAUCAAAAAUAUUAACAAUUAUCUUCGAUGAUUUAUGCUCUAUUGAUGAGCAAGUGGAGAUGAUGCAAACAAUUAAAGGAUGGAGGAAUUUUCGAAUUGACCUCUUGAUGGCUGCUGAACGAUUCAUUUGUAUGGCUUGUGGUUCUGAAUGCAAUAUGGCUGGACCCUUAACUGAAAGAAGUUAUAAAUUAUUAAAAAAACUUGAAAGUUUAAAUGAACCUUGUAGUAAUAUAAAGGAUAUUAUUAUAUUUAUUGAGGAUAAUUUUUAUUACAGAAGUAUGCGCUAUGAUUGGUUUCAAAUAGCUAAAAGAGCCAACAUUGGUUUUUGUCAAGUAUUUUUGCAAUGUGCUUUGAAUACUGCCAUCCAUAGAAACAGUAUUAGAGGGUAUCACAUUCCAGAAGAUAGAAUAAAAAGAAUGCUGUCUUGUAUGGAGUAUCCUGAUUCUGAAAAAUAUAAAUGGGAAAAAUAUUCUAUUGUAUUUGAUUCUUCAUUAUCAUAUGAAAAUUCUCCAGUGAAGGAUGUGGUUAAUAUAAUAAAAGAAGCUACUAAUAAUCCUGCUGAAAUUAUGGUCACUGAAGACAAGAUUGAAGCUCAAAGAAUUUGUUCCAAGAAUGCUAUACAUCAGGCUGAUAAGAUAUUAAGAAAAUUAAUAUCGAAAAAAAUUUUGGAUAUUAAAGGUCAAUAAUAUACUUCUGGAAAUUUAUCAAUUUGCUAUCCAAAUCUUUCUGAAGCCUUUGUGAAACUUUUGUUUUUUCUCUUAGAGCUAAAUUAUCCUGUGCCAUAAAUUGAUGAGACCACUUCAAAGAAAAUCUGAUAAAUGAAGAUAUGAAGAUGGCAAUUUCUACCACUGUUAAUCUUCGUCAACAACUUCUGAAUGAUUUGAGACAAGGUAAUAUUAGUAUUCCCAAAGAACUUAUAACGAAUAUUCAGAAGGUAGGAAUA
rnacentral:misc_RNA from 1 species